rnacentral:rRNA from 1 species
AUGGCAUCGUCUUCAAGCUCUGUCCCGGUCCUGAACACUCAGAAAGAGAAAAUAUAUAUUUCGUACCGGUUCCCAAGGAAACAAGUGCUAGCAAAAAUACCUUCGGCGGGGUCUUCUAUUGAUAUGCUCUGCUUCCUUCAACUUUGCACAGUUGUGUAUCCUCACCUCCUUUAUUUUUGCAACUGCCUUUGGAGGGGGCUGCUCCUCCGGUCAGCUGCCCGUGGGCGGCGCGGGCUGAGGCGGCGAGGGUCAGAUAUCAUCGGCAAUCAAGGUUGCUGGCGUUGGGGUGGUGGUGGGGGUUCAUGCUGGUGGUGGCGCUCGGGUGAUGUGGGCUUCGGCCGGCCCUUGCGUGUGGCGACCUUUGACAGCGAGGGUGGUGGCGUUCCUGCUGUAGGACGACUCGGAGCUGCCCCUCGGGGUCCCGGCAUGGAUGUGGGCUGCCACGACGUGGUGGUGGCUCAUGGCGGUGGUCUGGGCCGUUUCGCGACAACAGCUGGACUUCUUCGACAUUGGCCGGUCGGUGAGCGCCCUUGUCGACCUUCGAUUCCUCUCAUCGUCGUUCGGGCGCUACCUUCAUUGAAGGGUUGGCCCCCUCCCAGUCGCGGUCCAUCGCUCGUCUCGUGCCCGGCAGCAGGACCGAGCUCGUCUAAUGCCUGGCAGCAGUAUCGAGCUCGUCUCGCGCCUCGCAGCAGGACCGGACUCGUCUCGUGCCCGGCAGCUAGACCGAGCUCGUGUCACGCCCGGCAGCAGGACUGGACUUGUCUCGUGCCCGGCAGUUUUGGCUGGCCUAUUGGGUCUCGCCGCUGGGGGCAGCUCAGGGGUGCUAAAGGUGGGGCCUUUCCACUUAUCUCUUUGGUUGGGGUAGCGGCGGAUCGAAGGAACUCAGCCGUGAACCCGUCUGGUCCGGGCGCUUUCCCGGUGGGCAAGAGCUUGAUCGCGUGCCAAAUCUCGUCGGCAGAGAAUGGGAGCUCGAGGGCCGAAAGGUCGAAGGAGCGUGGCUCGAAAGCAGGGAAGUUGAGGGAGAAGGCGCGCGAGUCCGUGGAGCCCAAAGAGCCUGAGAAGUGCUCAAAAGCUGCCUUUGAGGAGAAGAAAAUAGAUGUCCAGACUCCAACUCCAGCAACCAUGAGUUUAUCUGCCGCCGGGAUCAUCAGUGCCAUCAAUGAGUGUGUCAGUUUGUUUCUGUCGGCCAAAUCUGCCACUUCAUCUCUGCGCUCCCGAUGGAGUGGCUCACAGGAGCAAAGUCUCCAUGAUCAUGUAUUCCAAUUACAGAGUGAUCUACAACGUCUCUGUGACACUCUUCCUGCAAUGUAUGACCUCAUUAAUGGAGCAGAGUGGAGAAGCUACGAAGAGCGUGUAGCCAAGCUUCUUCCGAGUCUCAAGGAUGCCGUGUCUGAAGCUGAGGACAUUAUUGAUGAGUUUAGAUGGUACGAGAUGAAGGUGCAAGUGGAGGGCAAUGCAAUCCAAUGUCCGGAGACCACCUCUUUGUUGAUGGCAACUUCAACAAACUUCAGGCCGGAGACCACCUCUUUGUUGUCAAAGGAAACAAAGAUAUUUAGUCGUGACAAAGAGCUGAAGCAGAUAUUGGGAUCUCUUAAUGUACCUACAUGUCCAAAACGCAAGAGAGCAACAAGUUCAAUCAAUGCAUCAACAAGCACAUCAUCAAGCAACCAUGUUGAUGGUAAAUCGGUAAUAUUGAGUCUUCCUGUUUUGGUGAUAACUGGAAUUGGGGGUGUUGGAAAGACUACUUUGGCCCAACAUAUCUGCAGCCAUCAACAUGUGAAGUCCCACUUCGAGCUAAUAAUUUGGAUUUGUGUCUCCGAUGACUUUGAUGUGAAAAGGCUAAUAAAGAGGUCAUACAAUCAUGAUAAUGGGCGGUGUUGGGAGAUGUUUUGUGCACCUUUUACAAGUGUCCAAGAGGGAAGUGCGAUGUUGGUCACCACUAGAUGUCCAAUUGUUACUGAGAGGGUGCAAACAAUGGAGGCUGGUAUAGUUGAAGCCAAAACUCUGGGGCGCAUGUUGAGCAUGGACCUUCAAGCAUCGCAUUGGAAUUCUAUACUUGAAAGUGAACUGUGGGAGUUGAAACAAAAGGAAACCGAGAUUUUGCCUGCCCUUCGGUUGAGCUACAUGUAUUUACCAUUCUAUUUGAAGCAAUGCUUCGCAUUCUGUGCUAUGUACCCCAAAGAUUAUGAAUUUGAGAAGACAUGCUUAGCUGAAAUUUGGGCAGCAGAAGGCUUUGUGGAACCUCAAGGUGGUGUUCCUAUUCAAGAUAUUGGUUCUCAGUAUUUUGAAGACCUUGUAGCACGGUCCUUCUUUCAAAAGCCUAUGCAAGUACACAAAGCUAUGCACAAGGCAGUUGCAAACAUAAAGGAGGUGCUAAUAUCCGGCUGUCCAAACUUAGAGGAAGUGGAGCAGAUGGACACAAGAUACCGCCCAAGUUCGGACAGAAGUUUGAUCUGCUCAUAUUUCCCCGAAACUGCUGCUGCUGCUGCUGCUGCGCAUUUGGCAGCGAGUAGCCAGAUGAGCUUGGUUUCUUCUACUCUGGUUUGGUUUCUUCUGCUCUGGUUUGCUUUCUUCUUCUGCAUGCGUCCCACACACAACUCUGUGAAUAGAAUCGAACAAACAAUUGUUUUCGAAGGAAAACAUGGUGAGAAGUUUCAGCAAGCUGAGGAAGGCAGAAGCAGAAGGCUCUGUUACCAAGGUGUGGAGAAGGCAGAGAAGAUAUAA